UUACAACCUCAAGUGAUUUAUUUUUCGUAUGUCUUAAUCAGCAAAGAAGAAAGAAAUGACGCCAUCAAAAAGUACAGACAAGCAAUUAUUAAAGUUGAAGAAGUCGAAUUAAAAAUUAAAAUAAAAAUGGAUAAACAACAGAAAGUAAAUA